UACAGAGGGUGCAAGCGUUGUUCGGAAUUAUUGGGCGUAAAGCGCGUGUAGGCGGCUUGGCAAGUCGGGUGUGAAAUCCCUCAGCUUAACUGAGGAAGUGCGCCCGAAACUGCCGAGCUUGAGUACCGGAGAGGGUGGCGGAAUUCCCCAAGUAGAGGUGAAAUUCGUAGAUAUGGGGAGGAACACCGGUGGCGAAGGCGGGUCUACUGGGCCGAUACUGCGCUGAGGAGCGAAAGCGUGGGGAGCAAACAGG
rnacentral:rRNA from 1 species